GAUCAUGGCUCAGGAUGAACGCUAGCUACAGGCUUAACACAUGCAAGUCGAGGGGCAGCAUGUCGGUGGCUGCCACCGGCGAUGGCGACCGGCGCACGGGUGAGUAACGCGUAUCCGAACCUGCCCGCAACCGCGGAAUAGCCCGCCGAAAGGCGGAUUAAUGCCGCAUGAGCUCGCGAGAGGGCAUCUGGCCGCGAGCAAAGGUUUGUUCCGGUUGCGGAUAGGGAUGCGUCCGAUUAGGCAGCAGGCGGGGCGACGGCCCACCUGGCCCAUCGAUCGGUAGGGGUUCUGAGAGGAAGGUCCCCCACAUUGGAACUGAGACACGGUCCAAACUCCUACGGGAGGCAGCAGUGAGGAAUAUUGGUCAAUGGGCGCAGGCCUGAACCAAGCCAAGUAGCGUGAGGGACGACGGCCCUACGGGUUGUAAACCUCUUUUGCGCGGGGAUAACACGGCGGACUUGUCCGCCCUUGCAGGUACCGCGCGAAUAAGGACCGGCUAAUUCCGUGCCAGCCGCCGC
rnacentral:rRNA from 1 species